AUGGAGAACCGUGAUUGGAUGUAUAGUGGAUGGGUGUUUGGUCAAGUCCCUUCUAAUAUAUGGCUUGAAGAAACUGCACGAUUUAUAGACCGGGCCUUCUCUUCCGUAGCUGAAGGUGGUAAAAUUAAGUGUCCAUGCGCCAAAUGUCGGAAUUAUUUUCCGCAAGAAAGGCACAUUGUAGAGAAACACUUGUAUAAACAUGGGUAUAAGCCAAAUUACAAAACCUGGACAGAACAUGGUGAGAGUUUUGUAGCUGCUGCUGAUGGAUCUGUCCCUUUAGUACAUCAAGAGGGCUGUAAUGAAACUGAUCGAAUGGACAAUAUGUUGGUUAACUUAGGUGGUAGCCAUCUUCCACCGGUUACUGAGGAGCCAACCUCCUCUGCCAAGGCUUUUUAUAGGAUGGUCAGUAGUGCCGAUGAAUUGGUACAU
rnacentral:rRNA from 1 species